UACGAAGGGUGCAAGCGUUACUCGGAAUUACUGGGCGUAAAGCGUGCGUAGGUGGUGAGUUAAGUCUGUCGUGAAAGCCCCGGGCUCAACCUGGGAAUGGCGAUGGAUACUGGCUCGCUAGAGUGCGGUAGAGGAGAGUGGAAUUCCCGGUGUAGCAGUGAAAUGCGUAGAGAUCGGGAGGAACAUCAGUUGCGAAGGCGGCUCUCUGGACGGUAACUGACGCUGAGACGCGAAAGCGUGGGUAGCAAACAGG
rnacentral:rRNA from 1 species